AACGUAGGAGACAAACGUUAUCCGGAGUUACUGGGCGUAAAGGGCGUGUAGGUGGUUGCGUAAGUCUGGCGUGAAAUUUUUCGGCUUAACCGGGAAAGGUCGUCGGAUACUGCGUAGCUAGAGGACGGUAGAGGCGUGUGGAAUUCCGGGUGUAGUGGUGAAAUGCGUAGAGAUCCGGAGGAACACCGGUGGCGAAGGCGGCCAAACUGGACGAAUACUGACGCUGAGACUCGAAAGCGUGGGGAGCAAACAGG
rnacentral:rRNA from 1 species